rnacentral:rRNA from 1 species
GUUAGUGGCAGACGGGUGAGUAAUGCGUAGGAAUCUACCUAGUAGUACGGAAUAGCCAUUAGAACUGGUGGGUAAUACUGUAUAAUCCCCGAGGGGGAAAGAUUUAUCGCUAUUAGAUGAGCCUACGUUAGAUUAGCUAGUUGGUGAGGUAAUGGCUUACCAAGGCUAUGAUCUAUAGCUGGUCUGAGAGGACGAUCAGCCACACUGGAACUGAGAUACGGUCCAGACUCCUACGGGAGGCAGCAGUGGGGAAUAUUGGACAAUGGGCGAAAGCCUGAUCCAGCUAUGCCGCGUGAGUGAAGAAGGCCUUCGGGUUGUAAAACUCUUUCAAUAGGGAAGAUAAUGACGGUACCUAUAA